rnacentral:rRNA from 1 species
UCAUGGCUCAGGAUGAACGCUAGCGACAGGCCUAACACAUGCAAGUCGAGGGGCAGCGCGGGAGAAGCUUGCUUUCCUGGCGGCGACCGGCGCACGGGUGCGUAACAGGUGUGCAAUCUGUCCAUAGUCGGGGGAUAGCCCAGCGAAAGCUGAAUUAACACUCCAUGUGAAUCGAAGCCGCAUGACUUUGAUUUGAAACGCAAGGACUAUGGGUGAGCACGCUUCUGAGUUAGGUAGUUGGUGGGGUAACGGCCCACCAAGCCGACGAUCAGUAGGGGUUCUGAGAGGAAGGUCCCCCACAUUGGAACUGAGACACGGUCCAAACUCCUACGGGAGGCAGCAGUGAGGAAUAUUGGUCAAUGGGCGAGAGCCUGAACCAGCCAAGUCGCGUGAAAGGAUGAAGGUUCUAUGGAUUGUAAACUUCUUUUGUCCGAGGGUAAAAAAGGUCACGUGUGACUUCUUGCAAGUAUCGGACGAAUAAGCAUCGGCUAACUCCGUGCCAGCCGCAGC